GCUAACUUCGUGCCAGCAGCCGCGGUAAUACGAAGGGGGCUAGCGUUGUUCGGAAUUACUGGGCGUAAAGCGCACGUAGGCGGAUUGGUCAGUUAGGGGUGAAAUCCCGGGGCUCAACCCCGGAACUGCCUUUAAUACUGCCAAUCUAGAGUCCGAGAGAGGUGAGUGGAAUUCCGAGUGUAGAGGUGAAAUUCGUAGAUAUUCGGAGGAACACCAGUGGCGAAGGCGGCUCACUGGCUCGGUACUGACGCUGAGGUGCGAAAGCGUGGGGAGCAAACAGGAUUAGAUACCCGUGUAGUC
rnacentral:rRNA from 1 species